rnacentral:rRNA from 1 species
GAAGGGCCGCGGUAUUUUGACCGUGCAAAGGUAGCAUAAUCAUUAGUUCUUUAAUUGUGAUCUGGUAUGAAU